rnacentral:rRNA from 1 species
GACGAACGCUGGCGGCGUGCUUAACACAUGCAAGUCGAGCGAUGAAGCUUCUUCGGAAGUGGAUUAGCGGCGGACGGGUGAGUAACACGUGGGUAACCUGCCUCAUAGAGGGGAAUAGCCUUCCGAAAGGAAGAUUAAUACCGCAUAAGAUUGUAAUGCCGCAUGGCAUAGCAAUUAAAGGAGCAAUCUGCUAUGAGAUGGACCCGCGUCGCAUUAGCUAGUUGGUGAGGUAACGGCUCACCAAGGCGACGAUGCGUAGCCGACCUGAGAGGGUGAUCGGCCACAUUGGGACUGAGACACGGCCCAGACUCCUACGGGAGGCAGCAGUGGGGAAUAUUGCACAAUGGGGGAAACCCUGAUGCAGCAACGCCGCGUGAGUGAUGACGGUCUUCGGAUUGUAAAGCUCUGUCUUUAGGGACGAUAAUGACGGUACCUAAGGAGGAAGCCACGGCUAACUACGUG